CUCUCUCUAUAACACAGUGAAAGAUUUGGGAGUGGGAAUGGGAGUGGGGGAGGCGAAGGCCGUGCUUGGGAAGAUGUGUUUGUGUUGUGUUGUUGGGAUCGGAAGGGCGU